rnacentral:rRNA from 1 species
CUGGUGUGUGGUGGAUGCCUAGGCACUGAGAGGCGAUGAAGGACGUAGCUACCUGCGAUAAGCCAAGACUAGCUGGAAGCAAGCUUAAUCUUGGAUUUCCGAAUGGGGAAACCCCACUAGGUCAACCCUAGUGAUCUUCAGCUGAAUACAUAGGCUGUUGAGGCAAACCGAGGGAAUUGAAACAUCUUAGUACCUCGAGGAACAGAAAACAAACAGUUAUUCCGUCAGUAGCGGCGAGCGAAAGCGGAGAAGCCCAAACCAUGCGUAUGUCACAGGUCGUAACCGUUGUGCGCGUGGGGUCGAGGGACGUAUUUUAAGAGUAUUACGAGGCUCUUGAGAAGUUACAAAUCUAUCUUUUAAACGAAUUCUGCUGGAUAAGCAGAGCCAUAGAGGGUGAUAGCCCCGUAGUUGAAAAAAGCAUAGACUUCUUUAAUACGCUCCCAAGUAAUGCGGGACACGAGAAACCCCGUAUGAAUCUAGCAGGACCAUCUGCUAAGGCUAAAUACUACUCAGUGACCGAUAGUGUACCAGUACCGUGAGGGAAAGGUGAAAAGCACCCCGAGAGGGGAGUGAAAUAGUUCCUGAAACCACAUACUUACAAUCAGUAGGAGGGCGAUGUCUUCGGACCGCCUGACUGCGUGCCUUUUGCAUAAUGAACCGGCGAGUUACUUUUUGUUGCAAGGUUAAGGGCUUAUGGUCCAGAGCCGAAGCGAAAGCGAGUCUUAAUAGGGCGUAUAGUAGCAAGGAGUAGACCCGAAACCGAGUGAUCUAUCCAUGGCCAGCGUAAAGUCCGAGUAAAAUCGGAUGGAGGCGCGAACCAGUAUCAGCUGAAAAUGAUUUGGAUGAGCUGUGGAUAGGGGUGAAAGGCCAAUCAAACUCGGCAAUAGCUGGUUCUCUUCGAAAUAGUUUUAGGACUAGCGUCGUGUGGUAGCAAGCGGGGGUAGAGCACUGGAAGGGCUAGGGGUCUCACCAGAUUACCGAACCCUACCAAACUCCGAAUACCGCUUGUGGAAUCACGGCAGUCAGACUGCGGGGGAUAAGCUCCGUAGUCGAAAGGGAAACAGCCCAGACCGUCAGCUAAGGUCCCUAAUAUGUACUAAGUGGGAAAGGAUGUGCAAAUGCCCAGACAACCAGGAUGUUGGCUUAGAAGCAGCCAUUCAUUUAAAGAGUGCGUAAUAGCUCACUGGUCAAGUGAUUGUGCGCCGAAAAUGUAACGGGGCUAAGUACAUAACCGAAGCUACGGAUGUCAUAUUUAUAUGACGUGGUAGAAGAGCGUUCCCAACCGGGUUGAAGCCAUACCGUAAGGAGUGGUGGACUGUUGGGAAGUGAUCAUGCCGGUAUCAGUAACGACAAGAGGGGUGAGAAACCCCUCCGCCGAAAAUCUAAGGGUUCCCGUGUCAAGCUAAUCUGCGCGGGGUUAGUCGGACCCUAAGCCGAGGCCGAAAGGCGUAGGCGAUGGAAAACAGGCACAAAGAUUCCUGUACCACUAUCUGUUCGUUUGAGCGAUGGGGUGACGCAGGAGGAUAGGACACCCAACUGUUGGAUUAGUUGGGGUAAGCGUGCAGGAGGUAGCCCAGGCAAAUCCAGGCUACAUAACUCCAAGGCGUUAUGCGACGUGAAUCCUUCGGGUGAAGCGGAUUGUUUGAUUCCACACUGCCAAGAAAAACCUCUAGUGAGAACAGAAGUGACCGUACCAAAACCGACACAGGUGGAUGAGAAGAGUAUUCUAAGGCGCUCGGGAGAACUCCCCUUAAGGAACUCGACCAAUUAGCCCCGUAACUUCGGGAGAAGGGGUACUUAGGCUGGUGAAGGACUUGCUCCGUAAGCCGGCCCGAGUGACACUAAAGUGGCUCAUGCGACUGUUUACUAAAAACACAGGUCUCUGCAAAGUCGUAAGACGAUGUAUAGGGACUGACGCCUGCCCGAUGCCGGAAGGUUAAAGGGAGGGGUUAGGACUUCGGUCCGAAGCUCUGAACUGAAGCCCCGGUUAAUGGCGGCCGUAACUAUAACGGUCCUAAGGUAGCGAAAUUCCUUGUCGGGUAAGUUCCGACCUGCACGAAUGGCGUAACGAUGUGAGCAUUGUCUCAAGGGGAGACCCGGUGAAGUUGUAUUACCUGUGAAGAUGCAGGUUACCCGCAGAAGGACGGAAAGACCCCGUGCACCUUUACUACAGCUUGAUAUUGAAUUCGGUUUUAGUUUAUAUAGGAUAGGUGGGAGACGUUGAAACUGGCGCGCAAGUGUCGGUGGAGUCAUCCUUGGAAUACCACCUUUAUUAUAGCUUAAUUCUAACUUAGAUCCCGUGAAUCCGGGCUAAGGACAGUGUCUGGUGGGUAGUUUGACUGGGGCGGUCGCCUCCCAAAAAGUAACGGAGGCGCCCUAUGGUUCCCUCAGCACGUUUGGAAAUCGUGCGUAGAGCGUAAAGGCAUAAGGGAGCUUGACUGCGAGACUUACAAGUCGAGCAGGUACGAAAGUAGGGCUUAGUGAUCCAGCGGUUCCAUAUGGAAGGGCCGUUGCUCAUCGGAUAAAAGGUACGCCGGGGAUAACAGGCUUAUAGCGCCCAAGAGUUCAUAUCGACGGCGCUGUUUGGCACCUCGAUGUCGGCUCGUCACAUCCUGGGGCUGAAGCAGGUCCCAAGGGUUGGUCUGUUCGCCCAUUAAAGUGGCACGCGAGCUGGGUUUAGAACGUCGUGAGACAGUUCGGUCCCUAUCUGCCGUGGGCGUUUGA